GAUAAACGCUGGCGGCGUGCCUAAUACAUGCAAGUCGAGCGAACAGACGAGGAGCUUGCUCCUCUGAUGUUAGCGGCGGACGGGUGAGUAACACGUGGAUAACCUACCUAUAAGACUGGGAUAACUUCGGGAAACCGGAGCUAAUACCGGAUAACAUGUUGAACCGCAUGGUUCAACAGUGAAAGACGGUCUUGCUGUCACUUAUAGAUGGAUCCGCGCCGCAUUAGCUAGUUGGUAAGGUAACGGCUUACCAAGGCAACGAUGCGUAGCCGACCUGAGAGGGUGAUCGGCCACACUGGAACCGAGACACGGUCCAGACUCCUACGGGAGGCAGCAGUAGGGAAUCUUCCGCAAUGGGCGAAAGCCUGACGGAGCAACGCCGCGUGAGUGAAGAAGGUCUUCGGAUCGUAAAACUCUGUUAUUAGGGAAGAACAAAUGUGUAAGUAACUAUGCACGUCUUGACGGUACCUAAUCAGAAAGCCACGGCUAACUACGUG
rnacentral:rRNA from 1 species